rnacentral:rRNA from 1 species
CCUACGGGAGGCAGCAGUAAGGAAUAUUGGUCAAUGGAGGCAACUCUGAACCAGCCAUGCCGCGUGCAGGAUGACGGCCCUAUGGGCUGUAAACUGCUUUUAUACAAGAGAAAACCCUGGUACGUGUACCAGGUUGAUAGUAUUGUAAGAAUAAGCAUCGGCUAACUUCGUGCCAGCAGCCGCGGUAAGACGAAGGAUGCAAGCGUUAUCCGGAUUCAUUGGGUUUAAAGGGUGCGUAGGCGGACUGAUAAGUCAGUGGUGAAAUCUCUUUGCUUAACAAAGAAACUGCCAUUGAUACUGUCGGUCUAGAGUAUAGAUGACGUUGGCGGAAUAUGACAUGUAGUGGUGAAAUACUUAGAUAUGUCAUAGAACACCGAUUGCGAAGGCAGCUAACGAAACUAUAACUGACGCUGAGGCACGAAAGUGCGGGGAUCAAACAGGAUUAGAUACCCUGGUAGCCCGCACCGUAAACGAUANAUACUCGUGUGUGNUAUNANANNAGCGACACGAGAAGAGA